UUAAUUGAAGCCAAAAUAGAGGCUUAUCACUGUUAAUGGUAGAACUGAAAAUAUUUUCCAAUUAAA
rnacentral:tRNA from 1 species